UACGUAGGGGGCAAGCGUUGUUCGGAAUUACUGGGCGUAAAGGGCGCGUAGGCGGCAUGGCAAGUCAGGAGUGAAAGGCCUGGGCUCAACCGAGGAACUGCUUUUGAUACUGCCAAGCUAGAGUGCGGAAGGGGGCAACUGGAAUUCCCAGUGUAGCGGUGAAAUGCGUAGAUAUUGGGAAGAACACCUGAGGCGAAGGGCGGGU
rnacentral:rRNA from 1 species